rnacentral:rRNA from 1 species
UACGAAGGGUGCAAGCGUUACUCGGAAUUACUGGGCGUAAAGGGGUGCGUAGGUGGUUGUUUAAGUCUGUUGUGAAAGCCCCGGGCUCAACCUGGGAAUGGCAAUGGAUACUGGACAGCUAGAGUGCGGUAGAGGGUAGUGGAAUUCCCGGUUGUAGCAGUGAAAAUGCGUAGAGAUCGGGAGGAACACCAGUGGCGAAGGCGGCUACCUGGACCGCACUGACACUGAAGCACGAAAAGCGUGGGGGAGCAAACAGG